rnacentral:rRNA from 1 species
ACGAACGCUGGCGGCUGCUUAACACAUGCAAGUCGAACGGAGUGGCGAACGGGUGAGUAACGCGUGAGAAACCUGCCUAUGACAGUGGGAUAGCCUCGGGAAACCGGGAUUAAUACCGCAUAGUCAUAGAUGGGCGCGCGUCUGAUUAGCGAGUUGGUGAGAAAACAGCCCACCAAGGCGACGAGCAGUAGCCGGUCUGAGAGAAUGAACGGCCACAUUGGAACUGAGACACGAUCCAAACUCCUACGGGAGGAAGCAGUGGGGAAUAUUGCACAAUGGGGGAAACCCUGAUGCAGCGACGCCGCGAGAACGAAGAAGGUAUUCGUAUAGUAAAGUUCUGUCCUAUGGGAAGCAGUACCAUAGAAGAAAGCUCCGGCUAAAUACGUGCCAGCAGCCGCGGUAAUUC